GAUAAAGAAACCGCCCAAAGGAGCGCUCGGGCCGAGAACUGUCGCGAGCUAGCAUAGAGCGAACUGGAAAGAUGUGGCAGGCGGCAGCCGCCAUCUUAGACGGGGCUGCUGGAUGGUAUCAAAAAGCAGACUAUUUGCCUCACAUCAUGACAAUGGAAUUCACCUCUCACAAUGAGCCAAGUGGGACCUGAACUGUGCUAUGUCAGCUUACCUGGGGAUAGAGCUUUCAUGAACCUCUGGGAUGGAUACAAAAAACAUAUGACUAAACAUGAUCUGGACAUUCCCUAAUGGGUUACCCUGCUAGAAUUGGGACAUCCCCUACGGACUCUUGAGAGUUUUUCCAUGUGUGCAGUGGGGUGAUGGGACAGCAAAUAGGGGGCAUCAGCAAAAGAUCUCCUGUUUUCUUUGGGAAAUUACUAAGAAAAUUGCAUAGCACUGUCAAUAUUUUCUUAUUCCAUCAUUGCACAGCAAUUAAGUUAUUACAUUUUGCAGACAACAGUUUUAGUCGUUGUUCUAUCUCUAGCAUAGCUAAUCAACUAAUAGGCAUCCCAAUCACCUCUAAUCAGGGAGCUUGCUUUAAACAUCUGAAAUUAUUUCCUGUUCUGCUGUUGCAACUGUGCUGCAGAUCAAACAGAUAUUCCUUUCCUAAUCACACUCUUCUCUCCCACACAAAUACACCAACCAACACCAUCCUUAAGGCAAUCCACCCAUGAUUGCUACUGCAAGAUCAGCUUCUAGGUACAGGAGUUUCCAUGAGGUGUUAGGGUCCUUGAGGUGAGGAGGUAAAUUGUGGUGGGUGAAAGUGAGUGAGGGGAGUAAAAAAAGGUAAACAAGGCUGAAUAUUUGAAGGAGCCCCUCAUUAAAAGUUCAUCACCAAUUUAAUGGUUAAUAUUGGCUUGACAUCAGAAGAAUGUUGCCAUUUAACAUUUCAAACAUUUAGGGCCAAAUCCUGCUUCUAUGAAUAUCAGUGGGCGUUUUGCCUGAAUAAAGGAGUGUGAACUAUGCAAGGACCGACCUUAGGAUUUGAGAAGCGAUGUUAUAGUGAUAAAUAACUAGUUCCCACUUUUCAACUGCAAAUAAAGCAGUUAAUAGAAAUAAAAUUGAUUCAGGAAUGCUACAGAAACACUUACCCUAUUACUGUGGGAGCUGAGGCAAUCAGCAGGGCCCCCACUAGAUGGUACCAUAACACUUUAGUCACAGAGAAGAGCCUCAGAGACCAGAUUUUUACCUUGCAUUGAAAUCAAUAGGUGUUAGGCCCCUAAAUACCUUUAAAAAUCUGGUCCCAAUGUCUUGAGAAGCAUGUUGAAAGGAUCAAGAGGGGAAGUGAUGGCUCCCUUUGGCUCCUGCACAUUGCAUGGACUCUCUAGAACAAAUAGUGGGGAUCGUGUGAAACUACCGGAGGCAGAGAAAAUACCUUGCAAGGACUCAUCUUUUCACCAAACUCCUUGCAGUACUAAUAGACUGAGUGCAACCCUUAAUAAGAUAUUGAUUUUGGGGAGAUCUUUUAGUGGCUUUGUGUCAGGACAGAGGUUGAAAACAAUGUCUCACAUUAGACCUAUUCCCCUUUCAAAGCCUUACUUUUUCUGAGAACACUUAGUUUUUAUUUGAAAGGAAAUCAGCUGAUCUGCUUACCUGAGCAGUUCCUAACAUCAUGGUCCCCAGUGAAUGUAGCUAUGCUAAUGGAGGCCAUUUUGGGGAAAGAAGGUAGUUGUCUGACAUGCAUUUAUAGAAGUUACAAAGAUGUGAUCAGUGGCCAUAUGUUAACCUACUUCAAUAACACUCCCCUUUGGCACACCCACAGAAUUGGGUAAACCCAGGUGAAUUCAGGGUCACUUGAUUUUCAAAGGAGCUAAGCAUCUGCAGCUCUGAGUGACUUCUGUGGGUGUUCAGGGAUUAUGAGGAAAGAGCAGACAUUUCUGUUUAACUUUGAGUGUAUGUUAAUUUUGUUGUAGAAGCCUUAGUUAUUUAUGUAGUGUUACAAGGUCUUUAUAAGAGCCAAGUGAAGUUGUUUGACCUAGCCUACAGUACAAGAAAUCUGAGGACAUCUGUCUAAAUGGGAAGAGUUAUGGACUUUGUAAAGCUCAAACCUAUGAUCUACUUGUGUUCCCCCC